UACGUAGGGUGCGAGCGUUGUCCGGAUUUAUUGGGCGUAAAGAGCUCGUAGGCGGCUUGUCGCGUCGGGAUGUGAAAAGCCCCGGGGCUUAACUCCGGGUCUGCAUUCGAUACGGGCAGGCUAGAGUGUGGUAGGGGAGAUCGGAAUUCCUGGUGUAGCGGUGAAAUGCGCAGAUAUCAGGAGGAACACCGGUGGCGAAGGCGGGUCUCUGGGCCGAUACUGACGCUGAGGAGCGAAAGCGUGGGGAGCGAACAGG
rnacentral:rRNA from 1 species